rnacentral:rRNA from 1 species
GACGAACGCUGGCGGCGUGCUUAACACAUGCAAGUCGAACGGAAAGGCCCUGCUUUUGUGGGGUGCUCGAGUGGCGAACGGGUGAGUAACACGUGAGUAACCUGCCCUUGACUUUGGGAUAACUUCAGGAAACUGGGGCUAAUACCGGAUAGGAGCUCCUGCUGCAUGGUGGGGGCUGGAAAGUUUCGGCGGUUGGGGAUGGACUCGCGGCUUAUCAGCUUGUUGGUGGGGUAGUGGCUUACCAAGGCUUUGACGGGUAGCCGGCCUGAGAGGGUGACCGGCCACAUUGGGACUGAGGUACGGCCCAGACUCCUACGGGAGGCAGCAGUGGGAAAUAUUGCACAAUGGGCGGAAGCCUGAUGCAGCAACGCCGCGUGCGGGAUGACGGCCUUCGGGUUGUAAACCGCUUUCGCCUGUGACGAAGCGUGAGUGACGGUAAUGGGUAAAGAAGCACCGGCUAACUACGUG